rnacentral:rRNA from 1 species
AUUGAACGCUGGCGGCAUGCCUUACACAUGCAAGUCGAACGGUAACAGGUCUUCGGAUGCUGACGAGUGGCGAACGGGUGAGUAAUACAUCGGAACGUGCCCGAGAGUGGGGGAUAACGAGGCGAAAGCUUUGCUAAUACCGCAUACGAUCUCAGGAUGAAAGCAGGGGACCGCAAGGCCUUGCGCUCACGGAGCGGCCGAUGGCAGAUUAGGUAGUUGGUGGGAUAAAAGCUUACCAAGCCGACGAUCUGUAGCUGGUCUGAGAGGACGACCGGCCACACGGGGACUGAGGCACGGCCCGGACUCCUACGGGGGGCAGCGGUGGGGAAUUUUGGACAAUGGGCGCAAGCCUGAUCCAGCCAUGCCGCGUGCAGGAUGGAGGCCUUCGGGUUGUAAGCUGCUUUUGUACGGAACGAAAAGACUCUGGUUAAUACCUGGGGUCCAUGACGGUACCGUAAGAAUAAGCACCGGCUAACUACGUGCCAGCAGCCGCAGUAACAC